AUGCCGGGCUCCACCGUGCUGCUGAUCGGCGCCUCCGUGGCCGCGCUCCUCGUCAUCUCCCUCCUCACCUUCCUCUGCUCCAACAGGCGCCAGGCGCACCGCGCGCCACCGUCGCUGUCACAGCGGAGCGUCGUUGACGACGUCGAGCUCGGCCACGGGUGCGCGGCCGCAGGGAUCGACGAGGCCGUCCUGCCCGCGUACACGACCACGGUGUACUCCUUGGCGGCGGCCAGGCGACGUGGCGAAGGCCAGAUGGCUGCUGCCGAACCGUCGCCCGACGACACGGACACGACGCACACGACGUGCGCGGUGUGCCUGGCGGAGUAUGCGGACGGCGACGAGCUCCGGCGGCUGCCCGGCUGCAAGCACGCGUUCCACCGGCUGUGCGUCGACGAGUGGCUCCGGCGGCGGCCGAGCUGCCCGCUCUGCCGCACGUCGCCUCCCGCCACGCGCGCGCCUGCGGCCACCACCGAUGACCCCUGA
rnacentral:rRNA from 1 species